GCCAGACUCCUACGGGAGGCAGCAGUGGGGAAUAUUGCACAAUGGGCGAAAGCCUGAUGCAGCAACGCCGCGUGAAGGAAGACGGUUUUCGGAUUGUAAACUUCUGUUCUUAGUGAAGAAUAAUGACGGUAACUAAGGAGCAAGCCACGGCUAACUACGUGCCAGCAGCCGCGGUAAUACGUAGGGGGCAAGCGUUAUCCGGAUUUACUGGGUGUAAAGGGAGCGUAGGCGGCGAUGCAAGUCAGAAGUGAAAGCCCGGGGCUCAACUCCGGGACUGCUUUUGAAACUGUGUUGCUAGAUUGCAGGAGAGGUAAGUGGAAUUCCUAGUGUAGCGGUGAAAUGCGUAGAUAUUAGGAGGAACACCAGUGGCGAUGGCGGCCUGCUGGACAUUAACUGACGCUGAGGCGCGAAAGCGUGGGGAGCAAACAGGAUUAGAUACCCCAGUAAC
rnacentral:rRNA from 1 species